rnacentral:rRNA from 1 species
AAUUUUGGACAAUGGGGGAAACCCUGAUCCAGCCAUCCCGCGUGUAGGAUGAAGGCCUUCGGGUUUUAAAGUACUUUUGGCAGAGAAGAAAAGGAAUACCCUAAUACGGGAUGCAGCUGCCGGUAACUACAGAUGAAGCACCGGCUAACUACUUGCCGGCAGCGUCGGUAAUACGUAGGGUGCAAGCGUUAAUCGGAAUUACUGGGCGUAAAGCGUGUGUAGGCUGUUCGGAAAGAAAGAUGUGAAAUCCCAGGGCUCAACCUUGGAACUGCAUUUUUAACUGCCGAGCUAGAGUAUGUCAGAGGGGGGUAGAAUUCCACGUGUAGCAGUGAAAUGCGUAGAUAUGUGGAGGAAUACCGAUGGCGAAGGCAGCCCCCUGGGAUAAUACUGACGCUCAGACACGAAAGCGUGGGGAGCAAACAGG